rnacentral:rRNA from 1 species
AGCGAACGCUGGCGGCAGGCCUAACACAUGCAAGUCGAACGAAGUCUUCGGACUUAGUGGCGGACGGGUGAGUAACACGUGGGAACGUGCCUUUAGGUUCGGAAUAACUCAGGGAAACUUGUGCUAAUACCGAAUGUGCCCUUCGGGGGAAAGAUUUAUCGCCCUUAGAGCGGCCCGCGUCUGAUUAGCUAGUUGGUGAGGUAAAGGCUCACCAAGGCGACAAUCAGUAGCUGGUCUGAGAGGAUGAUCAGCCACAUUGGGACUGAGACACGGCCCAAACUCCUACGGGAGGCAGCAGUGGGGAAUCUUGCGCAAUGGGCGAAAGCCUGACGCAGCCAUGCCGCGUGAAUGAUGAAGGUCUUAGGAUUGUAAAUUCUUUCACCGGGGACGAUAAUGACGGUACCCGGAGAAGAAGCCCCGGCUAACUUCGUGCCAGCCGCCGCAGUAAGAC